GCUAAUCAGGCUGAUGAUUUAUUGGAGACAAUGGAAGCCAGGCCUACUAUCCCCGAUAGAAAGCUACUUGCAAGACUAGUGCUGAUCAGAGAAGAAGCUCGGAAUAUGAUGGGUGGUGGGUUAUUGGAUGAAAGAAAUGAUCGUGGUUUUACUACACUCCCUGAAGCAGAGGUGAACUUCUUGAGCAAAUUAGUUGCCUUGAAGCCCGGAAAAUCUGUCCAAGCAAUGAUCAAGAAUGUUAUGCAAGGGAAAGACGAAGGUGCCGACAACUCUGGCAGCGAUGAUGAAGAUUCCGAAGAUACAAGACGAACUCUUGGUGGA
rnacentral:misc_RNA from 1 species